rnacentral:rRNA from 1 species
GACGAACGCUGGCGGCGUGCUUAACACAUGCAAGUCGAACGGAAAGGCCCUGCUUUUGUGGGGUGCUCGAGUGGCGCACGGGUGAGUAACACGCGAGUAACCUGCCCUUGACUUUGGGAGAACUUCAGGAAACUGGGGAUAAUACCGGAUAGGAGCUCCUGCUGCAUGGUGGGGGUUGGAAAGAUUCGGCGGUUGGGGAUGGACUCGCGGCUUAUCCGCUUGUUGGUGGGGUAGUGGCUUACGAAGGCUUCGACGGGUAGCCGGCCUGGGAGGGUGACCGGCGACCAUGGGACUAAGAGACGGCGCAGUCGGGUACGGUAGGCAGCAGGCGAGAGCAUGGCACAAUGGGCGGGAGUGUGUGGCAGCAGUCCUCGGUGCGGAAUAACCGCCUUCGGGUGGAGAACAGCUUUCGCCGGAGACGAAGCGGGCGUGACGGUAAUUGGUAAGAAAGCACCGGCUAACUACGUG